CGAUAGUAGAGGUCAGCUCCUCUCCCGAUAGUAGAGGUCAGAGCCUCUCCCAAUAGUAGAGGUCAGCCCCUCUCCCAAUACUAGAGGUCAGUUCCUCUCCCGAUAGUAGAGGUCAGCCCCUCUCCCGAUAGUAGAGGUCAGCCCCUCUCCCGAUAGUAGAGGUCAGCUCCUCUCCCGAUAGUAGAGGUCAGCUCUUCUCCCGAUAGUAGAGCUCAGCUCCUCUGUCAAUAGUAGACGUCCUUACCUCUCCCGAUAGUAGAUGUCAGCCCCUCUCCCGAUAGUAGAGAUCAGUCCCUCUCCCGAUAGUAGAGGUCAGCCUCUCUCCCGAUAGUAGAGGUCAGCCUCUCUCCCGAUAGUAGAGGUCAGCCCCUCUCCCGAUAGUAGAGGUCAGCCCCUCUCCCGAUAGUAAAGGUCAGCCCCUCUCCCGAUAGUAGAGGUCAGCCCUUCUCCCGAUAGUAGAGCUCAGCGCCUCUCCCGAUAGUAGAUGUCCGUUCCUCUCCCGAUAGUAGAGGUCAGCCCAACUCCCGAUAGUAGAGGUCAGCCCCUCUCCCAAUAGUAGACGUCCGUUCCUCUCCCGAUAGUAGAGGUCAGCUCCUCUCCCGGUAGUAGAGGUCAGCUCUUCUCCCGAUAGUAGAGGUCAGCCCCUCUCCCGAUAGUAGACGGCCGUCCCUCUCCCGAUAGUAGAGGUCAGCCCCUCUCCCGAUAGUAGAGGUCAGCCCCUCUCCCGAUAGUACAGGUCAGCCCCUCUCCCGAUAGUAAAGGUCAGCCCCUCUCCUGAUAGUAGAGGUCAGCCCCUCUCCUGAUAGUAGAGGUCAAGUCCUCUCCCAAUAGUAGAGGUCAGCCCUCUCCCGAUAGUAGAG
rnacentral:lncRNA from 1 species